CUCGAACUCCUGGCCUCAGGUGAUCCACCCGCCUUGGCUGCCCAAAGUGCUGGGAUUACAGGCAUGAGCCACUGCACCCAACUCCUCUUUCGUCUUUCUUUAACACACACUAGGCUCUUUGUGUAUUAUGAUUCAGUGCUAUUUGUAACUGUGUCCCAGUGACCAAAUUGCACUCGACUCGAUCAGCUGUUCAUCCAUUUCGUGUUUUUUCCUGUCAAACAUUAAUCCAGCAAAUAUAUGAGGUAUUUACCAAUUUAUUUUCUUAGUAUUACAAAAUAAUUCAUUAGCAUAAAGUACAAUAGUGAAAUAUUUGAGUUGUUCGGAACCUCAAUUAAUCCUGUUUUACAUUUCAGACCUAAAGCUGGCAAUCAGGAGAAGAAGCACUUUGUUUUAAAUGUGGAGAAGAUAACACUUGAUUCCAUUUCAUUGUCAUUAGUGUAUUAACCAGCAGGAGAGGUGAUGAGCCAUUUUUCAAAUGAAAUACCUUUUAUUUCCAUAUAAUUUUUUUAUUUUAGAGUUCAAUAGCUGUUUCUAUGAUUAUCCUCAAUUUCCAUAUGUUACUGAAUCUGAAAAACAUCUUUAAAAUUCAAACAGUUCCAUUUUCUCUCUUGUAAGUGUUAAAUGUGAUAAAAGUACAUAUUUUAAAUUGUUUUCAGCUCUUGGAUAUAGCAGCAAUAAAAACACUAAUUUGUGGGUAUUUAAGAAAACCUGG
rnacentral:lncRNA from 1 species